rnacentral:rRNA from 1 species
UUCAACUUGAGAGUUUGAUCCUGGCUCAGAACGAACGCUGGCGGCAGGCCUAACACAUGCAAGUCGAGCGAACCCUUCGGGGUUAGCGGCGGACGGGUUAGUAACGCGUGGGAAUAUGCCCAAAGGUACGGAAUAGCCUCGGGAAACUGAGAGUAAUACCGUAUGUGCCCUUCGGGGGAAAGAUUUAUCGCCUUUGGAUUAGCCCGCGUUGGAUUAGGUAGUUGGUGGGGUAAUGGCCUACCAAGCCGACGAUCCAUAGCUGGUUUGAGAGGAUGAUCAGCAACACUGGGACUGAGACACGGCCCAGACUCCUACGGGAGGCAGCAGUGGGGAAUCUUAGACAAUGGGGGAAACCCUGAUCUAGCCAUGCCGCGUGGACGAUGAAGGCCUUAGGGUUGUAAAGUCCUUUCAGCUGGGAAGAUAAUGACGGUACCAGCAGAAGAAGCCCCGGCUAACUCCGUGCCAGCAGCCGCGGUAAUACGGAGGGGGCUAGCGUUGUUCGGAAUUACUGGGCGUAAAGCGCACGUAGGCGGAC